AGUAACACGUAAACAACCUGCCUUCAGGAUGGGGACAACAGACGGAAACGACUGCUAAUACCGAAUAAGUUCCAAGAGCCGCAUGGCCCAUGGAAGAAAAGGUGGCCUCUACCUGUAAGCUAUCGCCUGAAGAGGGGUUUGCGUCUGAUUAGCUGGUUGGAGGGGUAACGGCCCACCAAGGCGACGAUCAGUAGCCGGUCUGAGAGGAUGAACGGCCACAUUGGGACUGAGACACGGCCCAGACUCCUACGGGAGGCAGCAUG
rnacentral:rRNA from 1 species